GCAGGCCCAGGUGGAGGAAAAAAUGUAUAAAAGGAGGAGCCAAAGCACUUUCUCUCUCUGUUUCUCUCCGCAUGCGUGUGCUCUUCCUUUCUCCCUCUCUCUCUCUCUCUCUCUCUCUCUCUCCUCAACGUGGUCCUCCACUCUCUUCUCUUCAAGUCUUUGGGUUGGCAUGCCCUCACGCUUCGAGGAUGGAUUCUCCUGCUAUCUUCUAAACAAAAUAGAGCUGUAACCAUGAUUUGCCUAAGAGCUAUAACACGGUUUGUCCCGAGAGCUGUGACGCGCUGAGGACUUUAAUGCCUGUCACUCCAAAUCUUUGUUGUGAUGAGACAAAGAACCGAGGAACAUACAUUCAUGUGACAUCUAUGGUGCUGUGACUCAGGUUUAACCUGGCUGAAACAACCUCCUUGCGGAAGAGGCCAAGCACAGCAGGAGCCCAACUCAGCAAAGCUCCCGCAGUAGAGGCAGAAUGUGAAGAAAAUCCAGAGCAGGGGAAGGCCCAUCAUGCUGGAAACCAGGACAGUGAAAAACAAACUCAGCAGAAAGCUAGCACAGCCCAGUCCGCACAGCCCAGUCUCAGAUUCCAGAAGACCUCCGGUUAAGCAGUCAAGUUACAAGGACAUGACUCCUGGAUUCACUAUUCACGAAUCAACCUGUGGAAGAAAACAGAAGAGGACACCCAAUACACCUGUGAGCCCCUGGGAGAUCUCAGAUACCUAUUCAGGACUACUAAUGGCCAAGCCCCUACGGGACUCAUUGGAGGGACGGACCAACUCACUAGGAAUGGCCACAGGAUCAGGUAAGGCCCCGGAUCCAGUCCCCAGUCAGGUCCUACCCCAACAGACAGAAGACGAAUCUGAUCACCUCCUUGGAGC
rnacentral:lncRNA from 1 species